GCCUGACCACUGAGAUACACCUCCAACCCUCCAGUGUCUUUCUAAAAGCCUUCCUAGAUGCCAAUGGUAGAGUUCUCCACAUGGUUCCAAGAUGGUCGCCUGAAUCCAUGACCAGUUCUGUCAGUGGUGGUCUAGGUUUUUACCAAUCCACUAAUGUGCGCUUACGAGGAGAUUCAUGGUCAAAGAAGGUGAAUCCAAAGACAAACACAUAGGCAUCCUCAGGAAUAUUAACCUUCAUCAGGCGAUGAAAGGAGACAGAGACAGAGACCC